rnacentral:rRNA from 1 species
AAUAUUGCGCAAUGGGCGAAAGCCUGACGACGCAACGCCGCGUGGAGGACGAAGACCUUCGGGUUGUAAACUCCUGUCGAGCGGGAAGAAUUGCCAGCGGGCCAAUACCCCGCGGGUUUGACGGUACCGCUAAAGGAAGCCCCGGCUAACUCCGUGCCAGCAGCCGCGGUAAUACGGGGGGGGCAAGCGUUGUUCGGAUUUACUGGGCGUAAAGGGCUCGUAGGCGGCCGCCCAAGUCGGUUGUGAAAUCCCCGGGCUCAACUCGGGAACUGCAGCCGAAACUGGGCGGCUAGAAGCCGGGAGAGGGAUGCGGAAUUCCAGGUGUAGCGGUGAAAUGCGUAGAUAUCUGGAGGAACACCCGUGGCGAAGGCGGCAUCCUGGACCGGUCUUGACGCUGAGGAGCGAAAGCUAGGGUAGCAAACGGGAUUAGAUACCCCGGUAGUCCUAGCCCUA